CCGGAUCGGAGUCCACUUGCACAGCGAGUCUGGAACUUGAUUUGGAUCCAGUCGUUUCCCAGCUCAUCCGACCCGGAUCCGCUGUUGAUUAUAAGCUAGAAUGAUGCCCGCUAAUGUUUGGCUCGAGUGUCCUAACGGCUAUUAUGGUUGCCAAGGAGAGCCCUUAAUCUCCUACAAGGAGACUUUAUACAGAGUUUCCAAAAGGCGACGGCCCCGUCCCCGUCCAGUCCCUGACAAUAUUGACCAAGACACAGUUGAAUACAACACUGAUGAUUUUGUUGACUACAGUAGUGACAGCAACAGAGGUCUCUUUAGAGCCAUGAACGCAUUGGGACUUUUGGUCCUCCUGCUGGCCUUGUGGUAGUACUACGUGCUUUUCUUCUGGAUUAAGCUUCUCUUCUUAUUCUGAGUUUCUCUUCAUCCACCAGGAUUGAUUUUCAGUAUUGGAGGGCUGAAAAUGGACUUUUCCACCCUGUUCAUGAGUGAGGACCACAAAGUAGAUGUCAUCCACUCCGUCACACUGAAUGUGUUGAACAACUGGGGCAAUCGUGAGUAUUCUUGUCUGUACAGCUUCCGUGUUCAUUCUUUAUGUAUAAAAGAAAAGAGAGGAAAAAUGU